CGCCUUGAUGGCUUCUCUGGCAGUUCUUGAUGACCAUGGAUGAGCUAAUGGCUGUGGUCUCAAUGGUGGCUUCCUGAGGUUAUUUGCAGCUGUAAUGGUGUAUAAGCCUGUGUCACUUCUACGAGACUGAGGAAUAACUAAAGUGCAAGUAUCAUCCACCACCAGUUUGUUGACGUGGGUGUCGUAGACAACAGGUUCUUUGUUAUCAGGCUUCUUUGGAGGAGCUUUAAACCAGGCAAACAGCAGCCCUGGAAGUAUGUUCAAAUGAUAGGAUCCAGGAUCCAUACCUUCAUCAUCUUGUAUGACUACGUUAAGAGGCAGAGAUGGUUCACUUUCACCGAUCUCAUUGACGGCUUUGACCCGGAACUCAUACAUUUGGUGUUCAUCGAGAUUUUCAACCAGAAAAGAUGUGGUUGGGCAGAGCCUCUUGUUAACUCUUUCAAACUCAGGAAUUACGUACAGAUUGGAUCGCGUGCUGUUUGGGGAUCUGAAGGUGGACUGAACUUUCCAGGUCCAGCUGCAUUUUCAGCACAUACUCUGAAGACAUAGAGGUGGCUUCCAUGUAAUAGUCAUGGCCUUAGCUGUAGGAUUGUGGACCUCGACAUCUACAGGUGGAUCAGGGGGCUCUGAAGAACAAGAAAAAAAUCUGCUAGCUCUAUGAAAGCCAACUUUUUAGAAUGAGACUUUGAAAUUAACUCCCAGCCGUUCUGCAACCAUGCUCAAACUUACGCUUUGGAUCUUGAGCAAUGACUGGAUUUUUGAGUUCAAUAUAUUCUCCUCCACCGAUCUUGUUAACUGCUUUGACACGGAAGAAGUAUUCAC